GCCGGGUCCGGGCCCAGGGAGCGCGCGCGGUGGCCGGGCCUGGAGCCGCGCGGGGACGCCAGGUGCGCGGGGCGGGCGCCGGGGGCGGGGCCGCGGGCCGGUGAGUCAGGGCCGCCCCCGCGCGGGCGCGCCGAGCAGGUCCCGGGCCCCGGACGCCCCGCCGCGCGACCCGCCGGCCCGGGAGCAGCCCCGCCCGGAAAAACCGGUCGGGCCGGCGCGGCGCGGUCGCAUUCCGGCGGGGGAGGGAGGGCGGCCGCCCGGCUUAAAAGGCGCCGCGGCCGCUCGGACGCAGCCGCUGGGCCUCGGGGCGCAGGCGGAGGGGACGCGCGCGGGACGCCCGGGCUCGCGGGGCUCGGCGGGCGGGCGGCGGGGCCGGCGGCUCUGGGGGCGCCCGCGGACUUCCCGGCGCGCUGGGUCCAGUGGUUCUUAACAGUUCAACAGUUCUGUAGCGCAAUUGUGAAAUGUUUAGGACCACUAGCCCCGGCGGGCCCGGCGGCGGCGGCCGGACGCCCACGCGCCCCUGCGAGGAGCCAGCCGGCCCGGGCGCGGGGUCCCGGGCGGGCCGGGGCGGGCCGGGGCGGGCGGCGGGCGCGGGGACCGCGGGGUGCGCAGCGGGGCGGCCCCACCCCGCGUGCGCCGGGUCCCUCCGUACCUGGUACCUGCCGGCGGCCCGCGCUCCCCGGGCUUUCGGGCUUCCCCGGCGGGGUGAGCGGGCCAACUGCUCACCACCCGCUCCGUGGGAGCGCCCUGGAGCCCCGCGCCGCCGGGCAGAGGCCACCCUGCUCUCAGGAGUCCAGAGGCUCUUGGCAGUGAUGCUGCCCCCUGACCGCGCAGCCGGUUGGCCGUGACUUAAUACGACAGCGCUCUCCGCCAUCCGCUCGGCCCAAGUGAGACCAGGGGGUGAGGGUGGGGGUGGGGGGCUCUUCUGGGGUGUCUCCUGUUCUGUAGCUCAGAGUCAUUUUGUACAGUGUGGGCACAUGACUGAUGAAAAUAAAUGUGUGUUCAAAGCUUCA
rnacentral:lncRNA from 12 species